UGGCUCAGGAUGAACGCUGGCGGUCUGCUUAACACAUGCAAGUCGAACGCAACCUUCGGGUUGAGUGGCGGACGGGUAAGUAACGCGUGAGAAUCUGCCUUGGGGUCGGGGACAACCACUGGAAACGGUGGCUAAUACCGGAUAAGCCUUUGGGUAAAAAAUUUAUUGCCCCAAGAGGAGCUCGCGUCUGAUUAGCUAGUUGGUGAGGUAAAAGCUCACCAAGGCAGCGAUCAGUAGCUGGUCUGAGAGGACGAUCAGCCACACUGGGACUGAGACACGACCCAGACUCCUACGGGAGGCAGCAGUGGGGAAUUUUCCGCAAUGGGCGAAAGCCUGACGGAGCAAGACCGCGUGAGGGAGGAAGGCUCUUGGGUUGUAAACCUCUUUUCUCAGGGAAGAAGCUCUGACGGUACCUGAGGAAUCAGCCUCGGCUAACUCCGUGCCAGCAGCCGCGGUAAUACGGAGGAGGCAAGCGUUAUCCGGAAUUAUUGGGCGUAAAGCGUCCGCAGGUGGCGAUUCAAGUCUGCUGUCAAAGCACGGGGCUUAACUCCGUUAAGGCAGUGGAAACUGAAUAGCUAGAGUGCCGUAGGGGUAGAGGGAAUUCCCGGUGUAGCGGUGAAAUGCGUAGAGAUCGGGAAGAACAUCGGUGGCGAAAGCGCUCUACUGGACGGCAACUGACACUCAGGGACGAAAGCUGGGGGAGCGAAUGGGAUUAGAUACCCCAGUAGUCCUAGCUGUAAACGAUGGAUACUAGGUGUAGCUUGUAUCGACCCGAGCUGUGCCGAAGCUAACGCGUUAAGUAUCCCGCCUGGGGAGUACGCACGCAAGUGUGAAACUCANAGGAAUUGACGGGGGCCCGCACAAGCGGUGGAGUAUGUGGUUUAAUUCGAUGCAACGCGAAGAAC
rnacentral:rRNA from 1 species